UGGGGACAACAGAUAACAGCAGCUUGAGUCUAGGGUCUAAGAGAGCCCUACUUAUUACAUCGGUGGAUUCAGGCUACAUGAAUAGGCUCACUGUGAAACUCUGGCUCUCUCUUCACACUCUCCUUGUUCACACAGCGCUUCACUCGUCAGCGGCAUUCCUGAAUGCUGAGAUUUGGUGUGACAUUUGUGAUGCCACUAUAGCCACAAGUGUGUGUACAAGGAUUACCAGUGCCCAGCAUGUAUACCUAAAACAUAA